rnacentral:tmRNA from 1 species
GGGCUUGUACUGGUUUCGACGGGGAUUUUGCACGCAGGGCAGCCAUCCGUGGUUCGGGACCACGUUAAAACUCGAAACUUAAAUAUAAACGCUGAAGAUAAUUUAGCAUACGCUGCCUAGUUGCAGCUGUCGGCCUUAGUUUCCCCACAGACUAAGAUCCCGGCAUCGAUUAUGUGGGACACUCGUAUUCCUAAGCUUUGCGGAGUAUGAAGUAAGAUGAAGCUACUGAAAUGUGGAGUUUGUCUUUAGACGUCACACGGAGGGAAUGUCAAAAUAGAGACUGUGAUGGGAGAUACCGUGCGGAAUAGAUUUUCGGACAGGGGUUCGAUUCCCCUCAGGUCCACU